GGCGCGGUGGCGGAGUGGCUACGCAGCGGCCUGCAAAGCCGUGUACACCGGUUCAAAUCCGGUCCGCGCCUCCA
rnacentral:tRNA from 5 species